rnacentral:rRNA from 1 species
GACGAACGCUGGCGGCGUGCUUAACACAUGCAAGUCGAACGAUGAAGCCGGAGCUUGCUCUGGUGAAUUAGUGGCGAGCGGGUGAGUAACACGUGAGUAACCUGCCCUUGACUCUGGGAUAACUGCUAGAAAUGGUAGCUAAUACCGGAUACGACCCUCGGAGGCAUCUCCAGGGGGUGGAAAGAAUUUCGGUCAAGGAUGGACUCGCGGCCUAUCAGCUAGUUGGUGAGGUAAUGGCUCACCAAGGCGACGACGGGUAGCCGGCCUGAGAGGGUGACCGGCCACACUGGGACUGGGACACGGCCCAGACUCCUACGGGAGGCAGCAGUGGGGAAUAUUGCACAAUGGGCGCAAGCCUGAUGCAGCAACGCCGCGUGAGGGAUGACGGCCUUCGGGUUGUAAACCUCUUUUAGUAGGGAAGAAGCGAAAGUGACGGUACCUGCAGAAAAAGCACCGGCUAACUACGUGCCAGCCGCCGCCGUAA